UGGGGAAUAUUGGACAAUGGGGGAAACCCUGAUCCAGCGACGCCGCGUGUGUGAAGAAGGCCUGCGGGUUGUAAAGCACUUUUAGUGGGGAUGAAAAGUUCAGGGCUAACACCUCUGGAUCUUGACCUAACCCCCAGAAAAAGCACCGGCUAACUCUGUGCCAGCAGCCGCGGUAAUACGAAGGGGGCUAGCGUUGCUCGGAAUUACUGGGCGUAAAGGGCGCGUAGGCGGAUAGUUUAGUCAGAGGUGAAAGCCCAGGGCUCAACCUUGGAAUUGCCUUUGAUACUGGCUGUCUUGAGUACGGGAGAGGUGAGUGGAACUCCGAGUGUAGAGGUGAAAUUCGUAGAUAUUCGGAAGAACACCAGUGGCGAAGGCGACUCACUGGCCCGUCACUGACGCUGAGGCGCGAAAGCGUGGGGAGCAAACAGGAUUAGAUACCCUGGUAGUCCACGCCGUAAACGAUGAGUGCUAGUUGUCGGGCGGCAUGCCGUUCGGUGACGCAGCUAACGCAUUAAGCACUCCGCCUGGGGAGUACGGUCGCAAGAUUA
rnacentral:rRNA from 1 species